ACAGGCUCCGAUCGAAGCCGCUCAUGCUCUCAUGUAGCACUGAAUGGUCAAUACGAAGCCGAGAUGAAGACUUUCACCGACGGUCGCUGUUCAGUUUCAAAGUAACUGUUUCAGCAACAUUUUGGGAAAGGACAUCU